AGUUUUGUAAUUGGAAUGAGUUAAGUAUAAACCCCUUUACAAGUAUCAAUUGGAGGGCAAGUCUGGUGCCAGCAGCCGCGGUAAUUCCAGCUCCAAUAGCGUAUAUUAAAGUUGUUGCAGUUAAAAAGCUCGUAGUUGGAUUUCUGUUAAUAAUUUAUAUAUAAUAUUUUACGAUAUUUAUAUAAUAUUAACAUAAUUCAUAUUACUAUAUAUUAUUAUUAGUAUAUGAAAUUUUACUUUGAGAAAAUUAGAGUGCUUAAAGCAGGCAUUUGCCUUGAAUACUCCAGCAUGGAAUAAUAUAAAAGAUUUUUAUCUUUUUUAUUGGUUCUAAGAUAAAAAUAAUGAUUAAUAGGGACAGUUGGGGGCAUUUGUAUUUAACAGUCAGAGGUGAAAUUCUUAGAUUUGUUAAAGACAAACUAGUGCGAAAGCAUUUGCCAAGGAUGUUUUCAUUAAUCAAGAACGAAAGUUAGGGGAUCGAAGACGAUCAGAUACCGUCGUAGUCUUAACCAUAAACUAUGCCAACUAGAGAUUGGAGGU
rnacentral:rRNA from 1 species